UCCUACGGGAGGCAGCAGUGGGGAAUAUUGCACAAUGGGCGCAAGCCUGAUGCAGCCAUGCCGCGUGUAUGAAGAAGSCCUUCGGGUUGUAAAGUACUUUCAGCGGGGAGGAAGGCGAUAAGGUUAAUAACCUUGUCGAUUGACGUUACCCGCAGAAGAAGCACCGGCUAACUCCGUGCCAGCAGCCGCGGUAAUACGGAGGGUGCAAGCGUUAAUCGGAAUUACUGGGCGUAAAGCGCACGCAGGCGGUCUGUCAAGUCGGAUGUGAAAUCCCCGGGCUCAACCUGGGAACUGCAUUCGAAACUGGCAGGCUAGAGUCUUGUAGAGGGGGGUAGAAUUCCAGGUGUAGCGGUGAAAUGCGUAGAGAU
rnacentral:rRNA from 1 species